UAGGGAAUUUUCCACAAUGGACGAAAGUCUGAUGGAGCAACGCCGCGUGCAGGAUGAAGGCCUUCGGGUUGUAAACUGCUUUUAUCUGUGACGAUUAUGACGGUAGCAGAUGAAUAAGGAUCGGCUAACUCCGUGCCAGCAGCCGCGGUCAUACGGAGGAUCCAAGCGUUAUCCGGAAUUACUGGGCGUAAAGAGUUGCGUAGGCGGCAUAGUAAGCAGAGUGUGAAAUCGUAUGGCUCAACCAUAUACACAUGCUCUGAACUGCUAAGCUAGAGAAUGGAAGAGGUCGCUAGAAUUCCUGGUGUAGGGGUGAAAUCCGUAGAUAUCAGGAGGAAUACCGAUGGCGUAGGCAGGCGACUGGUCCAUUUCUGACGCUCAGGCACGAAAGCGUGGGGAGCGAUCGGG
rnacentral:rRNA from 1 species